UCGGGAAUAUUGGGCAAUGGAGGAAACUCUGACCCAGCAAUACCGCGUGAAGGAUGAAGGUCUUCGGAUUGUAAACUUCUGUUAUAAAGGAAGAAUAAAAUGACGGUACUUUAUAAGUAAGCCCCGGCAAACUAUGUGCCAGCAGCCGCGGUGAUACAUAGGGGGCAAGCGUUGUCCGGAAUGACUGGGUGUAAAGGGUGUGUAGGUGGCUUUUUAAGUUAGAAGUGAAAGCCCGGGGCUCAACUCCGGAACUGCUUUUAAAACUGGAUGGCUUGAGUGUGGGAGAGGUUAGUGGAACUCCUAGUGUAGCGGUGGAAUGCGUAGAUAUUAGGAAGAACAUCAGAGGCGAAGGCGACUAACUGGAACAUUACUGACACUGAAACACGAAAGUGUGGGGAGCAAACAGG
rnacentral:rRNA from 1 species